rnacentral:lncRNA from 1 species
GCCGUGGCUGAGGCCGUGCGUGCUGGGACCGUCGCUUCCCGGGACGACCUCUACGUCACGUCCAAGCUCUGGAUGACCGACGCGCACCCCGGCCGUGUCCUGCCGGCGCUCCACAAGACACUUCAGUAUGUGACUACUAUAUAUGUAGCCACGCACUAGCAGCAGGCAGCACAGCAGUACGAUUGAUGGUCUUGUUGCGAACAAUGCCUAAUUCUUUUUGUCGAUCAGGAAUCUGCAGACGGAGUAUGUGGACCUGUACCUGAUUCACCACCCGGUGAGCAUGCAGCCGCCGGACGAGGCUCGAGGAGGAGAAGGGCCGGCGGUGGUGGCGAAGAAAGGCCUUGUGGCGUUGGACAUGG